AUAUGUUAUACGGUCUGAUAUACCAUAGCUGUCAGCCAAUCAGCAUUCGGGGCUUGAACCACCCAGUUUAUAAGGUCAUUUAGAACAUACUUUUGGUUACCUAAAAGAGAAUGCAGGAUUUUAUAUCAAAGAAUUUCACUUUACUCAUUUGUUAUUGUUCCUUUGUUUUUUCAACAGUUCAGUUUACAUUCAAUCCAUCAUCUUCAUACAUUUACUGUACUCAAAUUAGCUGACGAUGGCUCUGCCAUAUAAUGCUUACACUUUUAAUAAACACAUACUGACUUGAUUGAAUUCUCUGAUGAGAAGGGUACAAUGUGUUUCCAUUACCAGUCCAGUCCAGUGGGUUGUAGCUCCUACUGUAAGUAAGAUUUAGGAUUUUUUCACGUUAAUUUCAAUAGCCAAGUGAACAAGACUUGGAAGUGUGGCAACGCGAGACUAGAGGAACAUCCUCUCUGUCCUCACUCUAGCUAGUUCAACACACAGGCAUUGACUCUACAGACCUACUUGCCAUAGCCUGCAUUGCAUUCAAAGCUAAAUGAUUGACACAAAUUUGCCUUGACAUUUCCUGUUUCAGUGGCUUUUGUGUAGUGUGUUGGUUCUAAAUUCUCAUUGGCUGUGCUGUUCCGCUUGUUGAUGAUAUUGAGCUGUCACAACAUAGACCUUUUGAUUGAGUUUUGCUCUCAAUGUAGUGUACUCAAUGGUCUACUCUGCACAAUGCCCCGUCAGUUCUUUUUUAAAGAGACAUUCAUUAAACUAAGAGUAGUGCCAUUUUCAUUAAGGAAUGACUUUCAAGUCAAAUUAGUACAGUGUUAAUGGCUAAUCACUAAAAAGGUGCCAACAUUUGGUUUCAUGAGCUGAGAUUGACAUGUUGGAAACCAAUGAGACUGACUACAUGUUGAGGUCUUCCAGAUAAAGUGGAGGACAGGGACUGAUCUCUUUCUGCUCAGUGAUGUUCUGAAAAUUAAAAGAGAGGCUAACUUCUCCAAACCUAGCUUUCCCCCUGAAUGUAUCGUUUGAUUCUAUGAUUGUUUCCUUUGUUAAACUACGGUAAUAGUGAGUGCCAUUUGUAAAAGACAUUUAACAAUUUUAACUGUAGCCUGUCCAAUUGCUGCGUGGUGUGAUCAAAAUGUGUGAGAGAGAAUAAAACAUGUAUUGUGCAAACACUGCACAAGCUACACACAUUAAAAUACUUUAAAAUACUACACACAUUAAAAUACUACACACAUUAAAAUUCUGUAUACAGUAUAGUGAAAUUAGGAAUCUUCAUACCAACAGAUGUUUUAUUUUAGAUAAAUUACGUUCAUCAAAUUGGAUGCUUGACAUGUGGACAGAGACAAGGGCAGUGCAAGUUGUCAUAUCUUCAAGUGUGACUAACAGUAACAAUUGUGAGUAAUUCUUUAAAAUGUAUUAUUGGCUUUAUCUUCUAUUUGAUCUCCACUAAUUUGUUUGGAUAGUGAAGUAGUUUGUGAUAGAGUGUGUGAGGGUAGAGUGUCCGAACAAGGGUGGGUAGAUUGGAGGAGGCAGGUAACCCUCUAUGUCCACUGCCCAGGGCUUUAACCCAUUCAUUCUGAUUAGAGAGAAAUAAAGAGAGAGGGAGACUGAGAGAGGAGAAGGAGGGGUAGAGAGAGAUGAAGGAAUAGAAACAGACAGUUCUAGAGGAUACAGUUAGGCAUAGUUUAGUAUUUUAGAGAGGACGCUAUUGUCACAUUUGCACAUCACAAGGCAUUCUAGCCUUACCUCAAGUGGUAAACAUUCUGUAUUCAAAAUGUAUAUGAAGGGCUUCACUGUAUCUAAAUAGGUGAUGGUUAUUUGAUAGCUGAUGUUUAUUUGAUGAGUUUACACAUUGACAUUUGCUUACUCCAAAUUAACAAUCUGAACAAGUCCUUUGAUAAGAAAAGUGUAUUUAGUUAUAUUUUCUGUUCUUUAUGUUUUUUAUUGGAAGUAAAUUAUAUAAAUGAAUAUGUGUAUGCAUAGUGAAGUAUAUAAUAUAGUAUUUUUUUUGUAAAAGCUACAAUACUAAUGCACGGAUGCAAUGCAUUGUGAGCUAUUGAAUAUUAACUGCGGAGUAUUGUUAAGUAUCAAAGCCAAUUAUUUGUACUGUACUUUGAACUGAUUUGUAAACGGAUGGUAUAUUAAAACUACUCUGUCUAUGCAUUGUCUGUC